rnacentral:miRNA from 1 species
CUGUACAGCCUGCUAACUUUCCC